UACAGGGGGUGGCAAACGUUGCUCGGAAUCAUUGGGCGUAAAGCGCACGUAGGCGGUUCGUUAAGUCGGAUGUGAAAGCCCUCGGCUCAACUGAGGAAGUGCACCCGAAACUGGCGAGCUUGAGUACGAAAGAGGAUCGCCGGAAUUCCCGGUGUAGAGGUGAAAUUCGUAGAUAGUCGGGAGGAACACCGGUGGCGAAGGCGGCGAUCUGGGUCGAUACUGACGCUGAGGUGCGAAAGCGUGGGGAGCAAACAGG
rnacentral:rRNA from 1 species